rnacentral:rRNA from 3 species
GACCCCAGGUCAGGCGGGGCUACCCGCUGAGUUUAA